GUCUCCGUGGCGCAAUUGGUUAGCGCGUCUGACUGUUACCAGGGUAUCCAAGUGUGACAUCAUCAGGAGGCUGGCAGUUCAAGCCUGCCCGGGGACG
rnacentral:tRNA from 1 species